AGUGAACGCUGGCGGUAGGCCUAACACAUGCAAGUCGAACGGCAGCACAGUAAGAGCUUGCUCUUACGGGUGGCGAGUGGCGGACGGGUGAGGAAUACAUCGGAAUCUACUUUUUCGUGGGGGAUAACGUAGGGAAACUUACGCUAAUACCGCAUACGACCUACGGGUGAAAGCAGGGGAUCUUCGGACCUUGCGCGAUUGAAUGAGCCGAUGUCGGAUUAGCUAGUUGGCGGGGUAAAGGCCCACCGAGGCGACGAUCCGUAGCUGGUCUGAGAGGAUGAUCAGCCACACUGGAACUGAGACACGGUCCAGACUCCUACGUGAGGCAGCAGUGGGGAAUAUUGGACAAUGGGCGCCAGCCUGAUCCAGCCAUACCGCGUGGGUGAAGAAGGACUUCGGGUUGUAAAGCCCUUUUGUUGGGAAAGAAAAGCAGCAGGUUAAUACCCCGCUGUUCUGACGGUACCCAAAGAAUAAGCACCGGCUAACUUCGUG
rnacentral:rRNA from 1 species